rnacentral:lncRNA from 10 species
UAAGACAUGACCUGCUCCUCCUUGCCUUCCACCAUGAUUGUGAAGCUUCCCCAGCCACGUGGAAUGUUCUUACAAGCAUGGACUUCGGUAAUCUAGCUCCUGCUCCUCAGACCUAUCACACCUGCUCACAAGCUGCUUCCAGGAGAGAGAACCGUGAAUACCAAGGCUAUUUCACUGAUGAGACACAUUUCCUAAAAUUUCUCUUUCACUGUCUGCAAGAAACCAUCAGGAUGACAGAAUUUUCUCUUUAUAUAAUACAAGCAACUGUUCUGAUCAGUCCUCUCCACUAGUGCAAAGCCUCCCUGAGCCUUUCUAAUAAAUUUAGUUACCACCUGGGGUAAGGAAGCCCCAUUAACACUCUUUUGUUUACGCUCUGCUAAUUAUCUGCCAAGUAAAUACUACUUGAAAAGGACAUUUUAAAUAUGCCUUUAAUGUUCUAAUAUGGUUUCCCAAAUACUCAAUAAUUAGUUCCUUCAUCUUCUCAAGCACCAAAAAUUAAUCUGUCUUAUUUACACAACCGUACUUCUCCCUUUGUAGGAAGAAGCAUGACCUCUGCCAGUUUAUAAUCUUCAGGCACUUCUAUGCAAUAACAACAGCGGAUGGAAUAGUGCAUUUGCUAGUCAGAGGCCUCUGAGACAGUGGCUUCCUUAAAGUUCUGUUUUGUAUAUAUCUAAAAACUGAAGAUAAAAACAUCCCAGGGAGAGAGAAAAUGAUAGGCAUAAAAGUCUACUGGGGAUCCCAACUGGGGUGAUAAUGGCAGCACCUAAUCCCAGUCCUAAAUGAGAAGAUAUAAAAGUUAAAUUGUCAUACUCGGCAUUGUUUCCUAAUUGCAAGUCCAGUAAAAGAUAUGGUAGUGGAGAAAGCUGAAAUUGCAAUAGUCAAAUUCUCUUCACAGAGUAAGGCUUUAUUCAGGACUGUGCCAUACUUUACUUUACUUUAAAGGGUCUUGAAUGUGGCUUUUCUCAGUUCCUACAAACCCACUGUUCAAAAGCAAGGCCCACUAUGUUGAUCAGUAAUCCUCAUACAAAAAUUUGUUGUUACUAACAUCUGAAUUCAGCACCAGGAACAUAUUUCUACCAUUAUUAUAAAGGCCUGUAUCUUUUUCUCAGAUAACGAGGAUAGUGGUAUAUAUUGUUUCUUCAAUUCCCUUAUGCCUACCAAGAAGUUAAGCAUUGUAUUUGAUGUCUGCAUUAAAUAUGAUAUGAUAAAGCAUGAUGUGCCCA